rnacentral:rRNA from 1 species
CGGGUGAGCAUGGGCGCAGCCUGAUGCAGCCAUGCCGCGUGUGUGAAGAAGGCCUUCGGGUUGUAAAGCACUUUCAGUCGUGAGGAAGAUGGUGUAGUUAAUAGCUGCAUUAUUUGACGUUAGCGACAGAAGAAGCACCGGCUAACUCCGUGCCAGCAGCCGCGGUAAUACGGAGGGUGCGAGCGUUAAUCGGAAUUACUGGGCGUAAAGCGCAUGCAGGUGGUUUGUUAAGUCAGAUGUGAAAGCCCGGGGCUCAACCUCGGAAUAGCAUUUGAAACUGGCAGACUAGAGUACUGUAGAGGGGGGUAGAAUUUCAGGUGUAGCGGUGAAAUGCGUAGAGAUCUGAAGGAAUACCGGUGGCGAAGGCGGCCCCCUGGACAGAUACUGACACUCAGAUGCGAAAGCGUGGGGAGCAAACAGGAUUAGAUACCCUGGUAGUCCACGCCGUAAACGAUGUCUACUUGGAGGUUGUGGCCUUGAGCCGUGGCUUUCGGAGCUAACGCGUUAAGUAGACCGCCUGGGGAGUACGGUCGCAAGAUUAAAACUCAAAUGAAUUGACGGGGGCCCGCACAAGCGGUGGAGCAUGUGGUUUAAUUCGAUGCAACGCGAAGAACCUUACCUACUCUUGACAUCCAGAGAACUUUCCAGAGAUGGAUUGGUGCCUUCGGGAACUCUGAGACAGGUGCUGCAUGGCUGUCGUCAGCUCGUGUUGUGAAAUGUUGGGUUAAGUCCCGCAACGAGCGCAACCCUUAUCCUUGUUUGCCAGCGAGUAAUGUCGGGAACUCCAGGGAGACUGCCGGUGAUAAACCGGAGGAAGGUGGGGACGACGUCAAGUCAUCAUGGCCCUUACGAGUAGGGCUACACACGUGCUACAAUGGCGCAUACAGAGGGCGGCCAACUUGCGAAAGUGAGCGAAUCCCAAAAAGUGCGUCGUAGUCCGGAUUGGAGUCUGCAACUCGACUCCAUGAAGUCGGAAUCGCUAGUAAUCGUGGAUCAGAAUGCCACGGUGAAUACGUUCUUGGGCCUUGUACACACCGCUCGUCACACCAUGGGAGUGGGCUGCAAAAGAAGUAGGUAGUUUAAUCUUUCGGGGGGACGCUUACCACUUUGUGGUUUCAUGACUGGGGGUGAAGUCGACAAAGGAGGUUAACAAA